rnacentral:rRNA from 1 species
UACGUAGGGGGGCUAGCGUUGUCCGGAAUCAUUGGGCGUAAAGAGCGUGUAGGCGGCUCGAUAAGUCUGCUGUGAAAGUCAGGAGCUCAACCCUGGAAGGCCGGUGGAAACUGUCGGGCUAGAGUCCGGAAGAGGCGAGUGGAAUUCCCGGUGUAGCGGUGAAAUGCGCAGAUAUCAGGAAGAACACCAAUGGCGAAGGCAGCUCUCUGGGGACGGUACUGACGCUGAGACGCGAAAAGCGUGGGGGAGCGAACAGG